UUUCUAAUGGAAUGGUGGUGUUCUGCUGUUGGAACUGAAGAGACACAAUAGGAAAAAUUGCAAGUUGAUAGAUUCAUGGAGUAAAAUAGUAUUCCAUGCCUUCAUGGAAUCAAGGAAAUGGAGAAAAGAGGUAACAUUAGGGAUAGAGUGAUGAGGAAGACUCAAGGAAAUAUUGAGGCUGAGGAAGGGCUAAUUGGUGUUCACAAAACAUCUUGGAACAGAGUAAUGUCAUCCUCUAAGGGGAGAAGCAGAUCAGAAGUCAGGUGCCAAAAUGUGUCCACUGACAAGUCCUCAGUGGUCUUUUCGCCUCAAUAUAACAAAAAGGCCAAAGGAAGGAAGAAAGAAGGAAGAAUUUGCCCCUUUUUGCUUCCUGUGUGCUUGCUUUAACUGAGAUAUCGGUCUUCUGCACUUGGACUAGGUUUGACACUAUCAGCACCUCAGCCUCCCCAGUAGCUGGAACUACAGGUGUGAGCAGCCAUGCCCAGUUAAUUUUUGUAUAUUUAGUAGAGACAGGGUUUCACCAUGUUAGCCAGGCUGGUCACGAACUUCUGACCUCAGGUGAUCCUCCCACCUCAGCCUCCCAAAGUUCUGGGAUUACCGGUGUGAGCCACUGCACUCGGCCACAACAGUAUACUUUUGUUUACAUUCCUCCCAUCUUUGUGUUAUUGUUGUCAUAUAGUUUAUUCCACAUGUGUUAUAAUCCCCACACUAAAUAAGUAUUAUUUUUCUU
rnacentral:lncRNA from 1 species